AGCGGAGCUGCGCACUCAUAGGUCCAACUUGCCAGAAGAGGUGGAGACAGCCCCCGGCGAGGCGCGCACACCCGCGCAGCGCGCACAGCCCCCUGGUGCAGCUCCUGCCAUUCAGACCCCCAGCCCUCCCCCAGAUGUCCGUCCCCUGGCCGUCGCCUUCCCCAAAGUCUUCGCAGUGGGCAAGGAGGCCUCCCCCAAGCUCUGGUCCCGGCCAAGGCAGAGCGAUGCGCUCCUUGCGUCAAAGCGCACCCCUAGCCAGGCCGUUCCCUGGAAGGGCAAGCGGGGCGGGGAGUUCCUCUAAGCCCCGCCAGUCCUGGGACCCCUGAAGUUUCUAUUCAGGUCUUCCAGCUACUCCUGGAAAAGUCGCGUCAACUUGGAUCCCAGCAAACCCAGAAGCGCAGUGAAAGUGGCCAACCCGGUCGCCUAGAAGCCAGCCCCGGCCUCUGUCUGUAAAUGAGGCCGUCACCCGCUCCCCACCACACCCAAACGCAUCUAGGCAAAGUGUGGACCCGACCAGGCGGGUUUUCCUCCUUCUCGCAACUCCUCCUCCUGCCCCCCUCCCUCCCAAAUCUCAUCUGAGUGAGUCAGCUGAGGGUGGCAGCUCAGAAGCGAGGCAGCCGUGAGGCGGAGGACAGGCUGGGGGAUCCCAAAGGGUGCGCUCCAGCCCCCAACCCAGGCACUGGGACUCUGGUGGCACCCUGGGUGGCAGGCAAGCCUUGAAAUCAAGUGCACGAGCCUUGGAAAGGAGGACCGGGAGAGUUAUGGCAUUUAUGAAUGAAGAAGAGAAAGAGAAUCACUCGGAUGGGAAAAGUUAACUGGAUUGUUCCCACCUGCAUGGAUCACCGGGAUGAAGCUGUGCCACCCUGUAGGAAUUAGAAGACCAUGUCCAGGAAUUGAGCACUGGGUGCAGGAUCCAGUCUUCUGAGGCCCUGAAACCACAUGGUGAGAAGUUGAAGGUCACACAGCUGGUAUGCAAUGGAGCCUGGAUGGAAACCUGGUCCGGGCUGGAAAGACUGGCUCCUCAGCUUGAACCUAAAAUACCUAGGUCUUGAAUGGCAUCUUGUUCACCUGCCUCUGGGAAGGCAGGUUGUGGAAAUACCUUGGGCUGUCUGGGAACUCACCCUCCAGCCCUUAAACCUGUAUAGGUAUUCUUGCUCUAUCUGGCUAUUGUGUGUAUGGUGGGGGCUGGGGGAUGAUGGCAUUGGAGGGCUUAUCCUAGCACCUGGCACAUAAAUGUUAAGUGAAUAUAUUUUGAAUGAAUGUAUGAAUUCGGUAGAUGAAUGGAUGAGUGGGUGGGUGAGUGGGUGGGUGGAUAAAUGGAUGGGUUGGUGGGUAGGUGGAUAGAUGUGUGACUGGGUGAGUGGAUGGGUGGAUGGGCUAAUGGGUGGAUGGGUGGGUGGGUAGAUGGAUGGAUGAAUGGGUGAAUAGAUGGAUAGGUGGAUGGAGAGCAAGAUGGAUGGAUGGAUGGAUGAAUAGAUGAAUGGGUGGAUGGGUGGGUAGGUGGGUGGAUGAGUGGAUGGGUGGUAAGUGGGUGAAUGGGUUAAUGGGUGGAUGAGUGGGGGGAUGGAUGGAUAGAUGGAUGAAUGGGUGAAUGGGUGGGUGGAUGGAUAGAUGGAUGGAUGAGUGAGUGGGUGAAUGGAAGGGUAGUGUAUGGGUGGGUGGGUGGAUGGGUGGGUGGGUGGAUGACUAACACUCCAGUUGCCAUAAUUGUUGCUCUGGGGUGGUGCUCACACUGAAUGGUUUGUUAAUUUAUUAGUAACAAUUCAUUAGUGUGUUAACUCAAGCGGUGGAGACACAUCUUAAUCCCUGCACUUAAGAGGUGCUUUCCCACAAAGGCGGGGCCUUGUGUUCUUCCUGUGAACAGCCAUAGCACCAGCGUGAGAGGCAGGUGCUGUCGAGCGAAGAGCAAAUGCCUGCUCUUAUGUGGCCAGCCUUCUUUGCCUGGGAGGUUUGGGGAUUUGUUUUUGUUAAAUUUCUGGGUCCCCAGCCCAGCUCAAACCCCUCAUUGAUGCCUGAGCCACUCAUAGCAGGCUAUGGAAUGGCAGCUGAGCAGCUGGGUCUGGCACCAAUAGCUUCAUCAACAUGACACCCAGACAUCCCUCUGGUCGUGGAGCUGACCGUUUGAUGCUAUAUAGACCCACCAGGGCUUGCAGAUGGUCUGUAGAAAGAAUGGGCUGGCUUGGUUCAUUUUACUUGGGAGGCAAGAAAAUUCAGCCUGAGCAAGGGCUUCUGUUGAUGCAGGAUGGAGGAGAGGCUGCCCCGCUCAUGGCAGAAGGAAGGCUUUGGGCGUCUAAUGGGGCUCAUGUCUUGGUGACGCCCUUCAUGAGGUACAUGACUUUGGGCCUUUGGGCACAGCCUUCUGAGCUUUGUGUUGCUCACCUGCAAAGGGAGAAUCCUCAGGUUUUGGGGAGAAUGCAAUGAGAUGACACAAGUAAAGCCCUCAGUGUGGGGCCUGGUGGGCUGUGGAGCCUGGUGGGCUGCAGGUCCUUGGUAAGAGGGCAGAUGUCACCAUUAUUUCUGAGGGGACUGGGUAGGUUUGUGGAUGAGUGGCUCACAUCACCCAAGACCCCAUGUUGGGCUCAGCACUGCAGGGUGUUGGAGCUGGGAGGCCUCUGCAGACCAGGUCCACUCAUUUUCAAAUGGCCUCUUGGGAGCCACCUAGAGAGGAGAGGACAGGGAAGGGAGGCAGAGAGGCCAGUCUCUGAGCCUCCUCCUCCCCCGUGUCAUCUCAGGGUCACCAUAGUGCGCUUCAUGGGGUGGGAAGUGGUGGCCUCUAAGUGUCUAUCAACUGUGAAGACUGCAAAGAGGGAUCCAUGGCUGUUGGAGCAAUGAGAUACGCGAUGACGUAGACAGAUCCGGAAAGCGCAUCGUCUCCUGAGCAGAAGGGCACUCAUGUAAGCCCAGACCACAAACCUGCACGCAAGUGUUGCAUGCAUUUAACUUGUGUGUGUCUAAGGCAAUCCAUCAGACAUACUCCAGGGGAUGUCUUUCAGGAGGAAGAAGGAAGGAAAUGGGUGUGGAGAUGGAAGAGGGGCAAAGGGAAAAAUUUAUACAAUAAAAUAAGACAGAUGAGGGUCCCAACAUAGACCAAGGUUGUUAGCAUGCCAUGGACUCAGUAAUGUUACAUGCAACUUUCUGUGUCUGCGGUCCGAAAAGUAUGAUAAGCAAAAGAGACUAUAGAGAGACUGAGGCACAGCAAGGGGCAGGGGGAUGGCCAAAAUGGUGGUUGGGUGUCACCCAGACACUCAGGUCCCUCUGGCCGUGGCACUGACAGUCCGGAGUGAUGUAGAUCCACCAGGGCUUGCAGAAGAGCAUGGUUCGGUGCCCAUUCUCUGAUGUCUGCUUGUGUGUGCAGAAGAGCUGCUUGGAGCAGGGUCUCACCUUUCCAUACCCAUCGGCUCCCCCCGCCGCCAUCCACCAGCUGGGUCGCAAGAAAAGGCAAAAGCUAUUGUGACAGCUUCCUUGUUUUGAGAGGCUUUUGUCGAAGGAGGGAAAAAGAAAAGUCAGGAAACAUGUGUGGCUUCAAAUUAUGUCAGUUAUAAAGUUUAUUGUUAGCCCCCAUUAUAAAAAUCAAUAUAUGCUCCUCAUAUAGGAUUUUAAAAGCACUAAGUUUAUUAUUUCUCUCUCAUUGUAAAAUUAACAGUGGUCCUAAUAUGCUAUUUAGAAAAUACAAAGUGGAAAGAAGAAAAAUGAAAGUCACGCAUCGUCCUUCAACCCGGGGACAACUCCUGCUAACACUCGGAUGGAUGAAUUUCACAUAUACAUAUAAAUAUUCUCAUCUACAGUCAAAUUUAAUAAUGUGAAUGCCUUAAUAAACCACUAAUUCUUCAAUUUCAUCUUUUGGGUUAAUUUCCUAGUCUUUAAGGAACUGUUAGAUGCAACGCUACGGGUAGUAGGGGAAGGACACGAAAAAAGAAAUCUUAUUUUUUGGCCAAAAUAUCCUGCAUAUUGGAUUUGCCUUUGUUUUGUUUUGUUUUGCUUUGAGCCUUCUGCCUUGUUAGGCAGCUGUUUGUAUACUUUCCUCUGCUUUGGAUUUCAGUCUGGAAGCAGCACAUUGAUUUUAAACAGAAAUACCUUAAAAGAGGUGGUGUUUGGGGGUUUACAAUCCCCCCACCAUCAGCUUGCAAGUGGUUCUGUUCCGGCUGGCACGUUACACCAGUAAGAGGCUUGGUGUAUCACCCAGGGAGCAGGUUAGCUAAAUUCAAGGUGAACAGACGGCAUUCUCUGUUUCUCUUCUGGCUGUCUGCCUAGUUUGGGGUCUUGGGGAAUUGGAGAAGCAAAAUUUGGGGGCUGGGAUCUUGGACAAGUGCUCACACCACAACCCAAGCCUAAGACCUUAUUUUUCCCUUCCUUCCCUCUUCUUUUUUUUUCAGUUUACAAUUAACACUCAGGGUUUAGUCUCCACCCCUCCCUCUUGAAAUAGAAUUUUUAUCUCUUGAUUCAUGCUACAAGAUAAAAUCCAUGUUUAUCCAGUUUCAUGAAUAAUUGAUAAGCUCUUUCCAACUUGUCAGAAGCAACUUAGCCGUCUCGCCUUGCGGCCUGGAACCCCUGGCAAUUUCCGGAGCACCGGCAAGAGACUUUUGCACAGUUUCUGCUUGGAGUCUACCGACUGUCUGUCUCAGAGGUCUGGACAGCUGCUUGUUACAUUUGGCUCACGCUAGCUUAAAAAAGGAAUUUAUGGACCUUACUGCAGAACGUCCCAAUUCUUCAGGCCAAGCUCCAGGAAAUUAAGAAACAUGCCAUUAGUUUUAGCAAACAAUUUGAACAAAGUAAAACCAGAUCUCCCACCAAAGGCCGAGGACCAUGAGGGGUCUGAGUGCCCCUGGCCCUGUUUGUGGACUCUGCGGGUCGUGGAGGAGCCAUGAAGUGGGAAGAGAGCUUGGGUGAUACAGGAUGGUGUGCGUGACAGUCCUCCCUGUGUCUUCUUUGCUACCAUAUUUAUCAUAGCUUAGAUGUGUGUGGCCUGGUGGCACCAAAGGUGAACAGAAAGCAUUUUUGGGGCGCCAUGGCCCAGACCUCAGCCUGAACGUUGUGGGAAGCCAGUGGGUGUCUGCAUGUGUUGGCGAGAACCAGUGGGCAUCUCCUUGGAAGCCAGUCCCCAAGGUGGCUCUAGAUGGCUUACUCCUGCAUCUUGCCAAAUCCACAGGGUCCAGCUGUGUCUCCAGGGCUGCGUGGCUUAUUGAAAAAGAGAGUGUAUGGUGGAUUUCAAUAUCUAUAUUCUACAAAAAAUGUAAAAGGGGCAGGGGACGGGAACAAAGAAACCAGUGCUGGUGAUCCUGCCCCCACAGUAAGGUCUGCUUUAGUGUGGACAUGGGACAGGGGCCAGCCCCUGCUGCUCCCUGGGGGAACACAGGUCCGUGGGGGUGGCUCACCGUCAUGUAUGUGAUUUUGAUGUUUGUACAUUUGUUGUACCACAUGAACCAGUCUUGGACGGCUGUUCUGAGUAAAUGGGAUGAUGUGGGUAAAGCCCCCAAGACCAGAGCCUGGCACAGGGCCGUGCUGGAUAAUGCUGACUCAUGGUGAUGAGGGGAAGGAGGAGGCAGGAUGCCAUGGGUGAGGAGUCCAGGCUCCAGUGCUGCUGAACCACCAUCCACCAGUAUGAUCUCAGCAAGCCUCUCUCCACCUGGACCCAGAUGAUUCACCCGUUAAACAUCCCAGGCACAUUGAAGGGAGAUGAACAGCGUCCAGCAUGGUCCUCAGCUGUGAGAAGCCAUACACUCGCCUUUUCCACCCUACAACUUUCCGUCAUCUGGGGUGCAGGUUUCUUUCCUCUCUUUUUACUUAUUACAAGGUAAAAUACAGUCUUAUUACAGAAAACUAGAAACCAGAAAAGCCCAUCACACAGUCAUUCAUUCAACAAAUGCGUAUUGGGAAGGGUGGGGAUGAGCCCCUGGUGGAAAUGGGGUGAAGCUGUGGACUUUCUCUGGGUGCGAUGAAGGCUGACGGAGGGCUUUGAGCAUCCUCAAGAUUCAGAAGUCUGUUCUCAGUCAUCAGCAGCUGUACCAGGAGAGGAAGAACCUCUGAAGUGUUCUGGCUCCAAAAGCUAGUGAAAGUGCAGAUUUCCUGAGAAGGAGUGAAGCUUAGGGCCCUGCCAGGCAGUGAUGCUUUCUCAACUUUGGGGGCAGUAAAAUGUACAGACUCUGGGGAAGGAGACCAGGAAGGAGGCUGCAAAGUGUGCAUGCUCUGGGAAGGGGGCAGGGAAGGCUGGCAAAAAGCUGUUGGGGACCCAGCCAGGCUGCUUCCCUUGGAGGCCCAGCCUGAGAUGUGUUUCCCACCAUAUAUGGCAGAAAUGAUUUCAGGUGCUAUGUAGAUAAGCCACGAACUAUCAUUGAAUCUUUUCUUGGUUGUAUUGUGAAAGAAAAAGUCUCUGUUGGGUGCUGGUGUAUCUUCGACACCACUUAACACUUGUCAAGCUCUCCUUUACUGAGGUAAAGCAGUCCUCAGGCUCAGAGCUUGUGACCAGGGAGCGGUAUCUAGCCAAAAUUUUAUUUCAAUGCUUUGUUUUCAUUGUCUUUAAAACAAAAGAUGGUUAUCUUCCAUUUGCCAUGAAAGAUACUGCUUCCCAUUUCUGUUUUUUACUCAUUUUUCAUUAAGGUAUAAUUUGCAUGCAGUAAAGUCUCGUCUUUUUAGUGUACAGUUCUGUGGAAUUUCGAUAAAUGUAUCCAGUGUGCAACCAUCACAUCAAGAUAUAGAAGGGUUCCUUCACCCCUAAAUCCUUCCUUGGGGAUGACAACCUCUCUUCACCCUCAGUCCUUUGCAACUAAUAAUCUGUUUUCUUUUCCUAUAGUUUUGUCUUUUCUAGCAUGUCCCAUAAAUGGAAUCUUAUAGCACGUAGCCUUUUGAGUCUUGCUUCUCUCACUUAGCAGAAUGCAUCUGAUAUCCAUUCACAUUGUGCCUGUAUCAGUAGUUCAUUCAUUUUUAAUAAUGAGUGGUGUUCAGUUGUAGGCCUACACUAUAAUUUGUAGAGGGACAUUAGGAUUGUUUCCAGAUUUGGCAGUUACAAAUAAAGCCCCUAUAAACAUUCACGUACAAGUUUUUCAUGAGCAUGGGUUUUCAUUUCUCUUGGGUAAGUACCGAUAAGUAGGAUUGCUAUGUUGUCUAAUACAUGCAUGUUUAACUUUGUAAGAAAUGGCCAAGCUGUUUUUCAGAGUGGCUAUACUAUUUUGCAUUCCUACCAGCAAUGUACGAGAGUUCCAGUUGCUCCAUAUCCUCAUCAGCACUUGAUGUUGUCAGAUUUUUUUUUUUGUUUUUGUUAGUCUAAUGGGUAUGUACUAGUAUCUCACUGUGGUUUUAGUUUGUAUUUUCCUGAUGACUAAUGAUGUUUAACACCUUUUUAUGGGCUUAUUUAAAAUCACUAUAUUUUCUUUGGUGAAGAUUUCAAACCUUUUGCCCAUUUUAAAAUUCGAAUUGUUUGUGUUUUAUUAUUGAACUUAUUGAGUAUUUACAUAUUCUGGAUACAAGUUCUUUUCUAGAUAUGUUAUUAGCAAAUUAUUCUGCUAGCUUUCUUAUUAAUUUUCUUAAUGAUGUCUCUUGGAGAUUGUAUUAAUUAGUCUGUUCUCAUGCUGCUAAUAAAGACAUACCUGAGACUGAGUAAUUUAUAAAGGAAAGAGGUUUAAUUGACUCACAGUUCAGCAAGGCUGGGGGAGCCUCAGGAAAUGUACAAUCAUGGAGGAAGGGGAAGCAAAUAUGUCUUUCUUCACAUGGCAGCAGGAAGGAGAAAUGCCAAGCAAAAGGGGGAAAAGCCCCUUAUAAAACCAUCAGAUCUCGUGAGAACUCACUCACUAUCACAAGAGCAGCAGCAUGGAGGUAACUGCCCCCAUGAUUCAAUUACCUCCCACCAGAUCCCUCCCAUGACAUGUGGAGAUUUUGGGAACUACAAUUCAAGAUGAGAGCUGGGUGGGAACACAGCCAAACCAUAUCAGAGAUCAUAGGUUGUUAAUUUUGAUCAAGUAUAAUUUAUCAAUUUUUUCUUUUGUGGAUUAUAUUUUUGGGGCCAUAUCUGAGAAAUAUUUACUUAAUCUAGGGUCACAAAGAUUAUCUUCUAUGUUUUCUCCUGAAGGUUUUAUAGUUUAAAGUUUUACAUUGAAGUCUAUUAUCUAUUUUGAGUGAAUAUUUUGAUAUAGUGUGAUAUAUGAAUGGAGGUUCAUUUUAAAAAUAAAUAUCCAAUUAUUCCAACCCCAUUGGUUGAGAAGACUACUUUUUCUCUACUUAAUUGCCUUUGCAACUGUGUCCUAAAUCAACUGACCCACUCUGUAUAGGCCUAUAUCUGGACUUUAUAGUCUAUUGCGUUGGUCUAUAUGUCUGCCCUUUCUCUAAUUCCACAUUCUCUUGAAUAUCUUACCUUUGUACUAAAUCAGGUAGGGUGACUUUAUUUAAAAUAUAUUCUUCUGGCCAGCUGUGGUGGGUCACAUCUGUAAUCCCAGCACUCUGGGAGGCCAAGGUGGGAGAAUUGGUUGAGGCCAGGACUUCACAAACAGCCUGGGCAUCAUAGGGAGACCCCCAUCUCUACAAAAAAUAAUUUUUAAAAAAUUAACUGAGCGUGGUGACACAGGCCUGUAGUCCCACCUACUUAAAGGGCUGAGGUGGGAGGAUUGUUUGAGCCAGGAGUUCGGGGCUGCAGUGAGCUAUGAUUGUGCUACUGGAUUCCAGCCUGGGCAACAGAGCAAGACCUUGUCUCCAAAAAAUAUUUUAUAUACAUACAUACAUAUAUAU
rnacentral:lncRNA from 1 species